CAGAAGGGAUAUAAUCGCUACAAUUAAUUUGUAGAGGAAAGUCCGGGCUCCUUCGGAAAAAAUGCCGGUUAACGACCGGGGGCUUUUUUGUAAUGAAAAAGCUACAGAUAGCGCAACAGAAAACAAACAGCCGAAAGGCAAUGGUGAAAAGGCGGGGUAAGAGCCCACCGGAUUUUUGGUAACAAAAAUCGCAUUGCAAGCCUCAUUUGGAGCAAGGUUAAAUAGCAGCUGAAUUUCCGAUAUUGAGCAUUGCGCUCAAACAGCUGUUGGUAGACUGCUAGAGACAAAAUGUAAGUUUUGUUCAAGAUAGAUGAUUAUGGUAAGUUAUUGUUUAUCAAUAACUUAUUGACAGAACUCGGCUUAUUGUCUCUUCUGCUUU
rnacentral:RNase_P_RNA from 1 species